GGCCUGGUCAUGGCCAAGCCCGGGUCCAUCCAGCCGCACCAGAAGGUGGAGGCACAGGUGAGGGCUCCAGGUGACGGGCGGCGCGG
rnacentral:miRNA from 1 species